UGGUAGACAGGAGCAUCCCAGAAUGCAUUGCGAAGCUGGCACGCCCGUCCCGAUGGCAAAACGUUGGAAGGGCCGCUCCUGUGUUUCCUUCCUCCAUGGGCGAGGCGCCCCAGUCACUUGCUCGCUGGCUCUCCUGGAGUGCAGAUGUGCGCUCGGUAGCUCCGCAGUCCGUGCUCCGGGUCAGUUUGUGCCUGGCUGUCGUGGGGAUCGGUCGCAUCAUCGCCGCGGGGGAAAAGAGCUAUGAUGGUGGCGCCAUCUGGUGUGAUGCUUUGCAACUAGGUGGCCACCUGCCGUCGAUCUCUGCAACUACCCGACGCCAAGAAGCAACAUGGCGGGCGGUGGUCACUCGGGCGUUCCGGAGCGGUUUCUUCGCCACGACAUCGUUGAUUUUCGAAUAAAUUGUUUCUCUCCA